GAUGAACGCUGGCGGCGUGCCUAAUACAUGCAAGUCGAGCGAACAGACGAGGAGCUUGCUCCUCUGACGUUAGCGGCGGACGGGUGAGUAACACGUGGAUAACCUACCUAUAAGACUGGGAUAACUUCGGGAAACCGGAGCUAAUACCGGAUAAUAUAUUGAACCGCAUGGUUCAAUAGUGAAAGACGGUUUUGCUGUCACUUAUAGAUGGAUCCGCGCCGCAUUAGCUAGUUGGUAAGGUAACGGCUUACCAAGGCAACGAUGCGUAGCCGACCUGAGAGGGUGUUCGGCCACACUUGACCUGAGACACGGUCCAGACUCCUACGGGAGGCAGCAGUAGGGAAUCUUCCGCAAUGGGCGAAAGCUUGACGGAGCAACGCCGCGUGAGUGAUGAAGGUCUUCGGAUCGUAAAACUCUGUUAUUAGGGAAGAACAAAUGUGUAAGUAACUAUGCACGUCUUGACGGUACCUAAUCAGAAAGCCACGGCUAACUACGUG
rnacentral:rRNA from 1 species